CAACUAACAAUAUCAAUCAUGUUAGAAACAUAAUAGAUGGAGAUAAUUGCUUAACCGAUACAGAAGACGUAUUUGAGAAAAAACUUUUUGUUUGUGAUGUGUGCGCAAAUAAUAAUACAUAUGAAAACACUCAUUGUAUUUUAUGUCCUAGAAGAGGUGGUGCAUUAAAAAUGGUAUAUAUAAACAAUUUAACAAAAACAGAUAAAAAUAGAAAUAAAAAAAGUAAUAAUAAUGUUAAUUAUUAUAUGAAACCUAACGUGAAUUGUGUAUUUGUUCAUAUGCAAUGCGCAUUAUGUGCACCUCAUAUAAGUAUCGAAGAAAUAGAAGAAGAUUAUUAUUACAUUUAUAAUUAUGAUAACACAUAUGUAAGUGAUUCUGAUGAUGAUAGUACUACCAACAAUAUUACUAGAUACAGUAAGCGUGCUAAUAAAAACAAAGAUGGAUACAAAUCCGACACAGAACUACAAACAUUGAAUAAAGAAUACAAAAAUGAUUACAAACAAAAAUUGCUUAACAUGUGUUUUCAUAAAGAGUUACUAUAUUAUAAUAAUGGUACAGAUACCGACAGGAUAGAUUUAAUAGAUAGUAGUACUAUUACUACUACUGUUAACAGUACGAAUAGGCAGUUACUAGCAUUAGAAAAUUAUACUAAUGUACAAAAUGGCGAUAAAUAUAACACUUACAUUAACAACAAUAAUAAUAAUAAAAAGGAUAUGACAAUUCUGAGAGAUAAAAAUAAUAAAUAUAACAAAAAUAACCGAUCAUCUCGUUUUAAUUAUAAAACAGAACAGGCAAAUAUGGAAGAUAGUGUGCUUUUACCUAUUCAUGAUAAUUCAACUGUAUGUGCUUCAAAUUUUAAUGAAACUGAACAGGGGGUUCAACUAGAUGAUACUUUAACAAAGGGAAGAGUUAUCACAAAUACAUCUAUCACUAACCAAAAUGCAACUACUUCAAAUCCGACUGGUACAAACUCAGAUGUAAAAACUAAUAUGAUUGUUGGACUUGAGAACAACAGUAAUAAUUCUAUUGAUAGUAGUAAUAUAGACAAUAGUACAAGUUAUAAGUCACGCCAAAAUAUGCAUUACAGUAUUCGAAAUAAUAAACGUUAUAACAGUUACAGUAACAUUAAUUAUGAUUUGGAUGAAAGUAAAAACAAAACAAAAAGUAAUAGUAUAUCAUCUUCACUAUCUGCACAUCACCAAUCGACUGAAAGUAUUAAUAUAUAUGCAAAAAAAUAUUCCAAACCUAGAAAAUGCUUUUCUAUAUAUGGUAGUAACAGGGUUAAUAUGAGGACAAACAAAUAUAACAACCAGUAUAACAAUCAGUAUGAUAACAAGUAUGAUAACAUCAAGGAGGACGUCAAAAAAAAUAGUACAAUAAUAAUAACACCAUCAGAAGAACCAGUAGAUAAAACAGUAACGGAAACAACCACAACAGAAGUAACGACAGGUACUCAUUAUACAACAAGAACAGGCUACGACAACACUAACUCUAUGACAAGUGUUGUAAAAGAUACAAGUAAAACAAGUCAAACUAAAGGAGGAAGUUAUGUCUAUACGAGUGGUAUGAGUACGCGUGGAAUAACUAAAAAGAAUAGUGUACAAAUAGAAAUACCCGAAGUUAAAGCAACAAGUAGGAAUAGUAGUAGUGGUAGUAGUAACGGUAUUAAUAAUACUAUUAUUAACAAUCCUAAUAAUGUUAUUAAUAAUACUACAAGUCAUAAUAAAAAAAAUUCUAACAUAAGUUUGUACAACUUAACUAGAGCUAGCCAAAGAGCCAACAUGAACAAUAGGACUAACAGUAUCAACAGGGUUAGCACUAACAAUAGGACUAACAACAAUAACAGAAAUAACAACAACAGCAACAUUUACGGUAACAACAUUAACGGUAACAACAUUAACGGUAACAACAUUAACGAUAACAACAUUAACGACAACGUUAAUGGUAAAAAUAAA
ensembl:lncRNA